CAUUUUUUAUUUUGUUUUGUUUUUCCUUUUACUUUAGUUUAUAGAUAAUAAUUAUACCUAUUUAUAGGGUAUAGAGCAAUAUUUUGAUACACAUCUAUGGUAAUUUUAUGACAAAUGGAUGACAUGAAUGAUCUUUCCAUAUGUGAGAAACGAAUCUAUUUUCAGGUUUGUGACAUCAUCUCGGUGUGUUUUGCAUAUUUUUUUCUAUUACUUUAGAAUUUGAUAAGUUUUAAAUUGUUUUCUCUUUCUUUCUUUUCUUUCUUUCUUUCUUCUUUUUUUAAAAAAGGGUCUUGCUCUGUUGCCCAGGCUGGAGUGCAGUGCCCUGAUCAUCAUUCACUAUGGCCUUGACCUCCCAGGCUCAAGUGAUCCUCCUACUUCAGCCUCACCAGUAGCUAGGGCUACAGGCAAGGAGUCACUAUGCCUGGCUAAUUUUUGUAUUUUUUGUAGAUACAGGGGUUUGCCGUAUUAGCCCAGGCUGGUCUUGAACUCCUGGGCUCAAGCCAUCUGCCUGCCUCAGCCUCCCAAAGUGCUAGGAUCGUAGGCGUGAGCCAUGCCACACAGCCUAGAAUUUGAUAAGUUUUCUAUUGGGACAAUUUCACUUGGCUCUAUUUGUGGAGUCAAAGGGUCACUUGAUUUCAUUCACUUUGCAAAUUAUGAUGUGUAUCAGUGUCUACUGACGAUAAGUGCAUAGAGCAAAGAUCUCAAAAAUUAAUAUUUAAAUAAAAAACUUUGAAUAUUUUACAUAAAUUACAUUUUUUUCCUGCCAUAUUAUUUGGUAUUCCAUGACUACUACUAUUUGUUCAAAGUACUUCUUAGCAGGAUACUCAUUUGUGGAAUGAAAACUAGGGUCAGAAACUGUGGGAGCUGCUGCCUUGGGAGAUAUUAGGCAUAAAUUGAAUGUUUCCAGCUAAAAUUAUAUGUCAUUGGGUAAAGUAAAUAAUUUAAAAAUUGAUUAGUAUUUCAUAAAAGGCAAGGUCACAGGCUGUGAAAAUAUGAAAAAGUAUGUUGAAUAGAUAAUGAUGAGAAAAAUGUGAAGACAGUUAUAUUUAAAUGCAAAGAUCCAUGGAAGAAAUCAGCUGCUUGAUAACUUACUAGAAGAAUGUAUUAUUGCCACUGUACUCCAAACCACUAAUGAGAAAUGUUUUUUAAGAUUUAAGAUUGUAUAAAUGCUUUGUACCUAGAACUGAUGGAAGUAAUUGGUAAACUACUUAAUCAAGUCCCACUUGGAUUACCCAGGUAUUCUCAUACCUUGAUGAACUUGUUUUUUUUUGUUUGUUUUUGUUUUUUUUUUCUGAGAUAACUAGUUAACUGUAUAAGAAGACUUAAUUUUCUUUGCAUAUAUCUGUUGGAAAACAGUUCCUCUUAGGAGUGGGCUUAUAAAGCUGGCGUGCUGCUUUCCAUCUAGAUUUACACAUUAUUUUAAAUGUAUCUGCACGGAAUUAAUUCACUUUUCAGGUGGUAGGCUGGGCUGCGUCUUAUAAGAAAAAUUCAUUUGAGCAUCUGUGUA
rnacentral:lncRNA from 1 species